GACGAACGCUGGCGGCGUGCUUAACACAUGCAAGUCGAACGAAGAGCGAUGGACGCUUGCUUCUAUCAAUCUUAGUGGCGAACGGGUGAGUAACGCGUAAUCAACCUGCCCUUCAGAGGGGGACAACAGUUGGAAACGACUGCUAAUACCGCAUACGAUCUAACCUCGGCAUCGCGGAUAGAUGAAAGGUGGCCUCUACAUGUAAGCUAUCACUGAAGGAGGGGCUUGCGUCUGAUUAGCUAGUUGGGGGGGUAACGGCCCACCAAGGCGAUGAUCAGUAGCCGGUCUGAGAGGAGGAACGGCCAAAUUGGGACGGAGACACGGCCCAGACUCCUACGGGAGGCAGCAGUGGGGAAUCUUCCGCGAUGGACGAAAGUCUGACGGAGCAACGCCGCGUGAGUGAUGACUGCCGUCGGGUUGUGAAGGUCUGUUAAUCGGGACGAAAGGCCUUCUUGCGAAUAGUGAGAAGGAUUGACGGUACCGGAAUAGAAAGCCACGGCCAACUACGUG
rnacentral:rRNA from 1 species